rnacentral:rRNA from 1 species
UACGGGGGGGGCAAGCGUUGUUCGGAAUUACUGGGCGUAAAGGGCUCGUAGGCGGCCAACUAAGUCGGAUGUGAAAUCCCCAGGCUUAACCUGGGAACUGCAUCCGAUACUGGAUGGCUUGAAUCCGGGAGAGGGAUGCAGAAUUCCAGGUGUAGCGGUGAAAUGCGUAGAUAUCUGGAGGAAUACCGGUGGCGAAGGCGGCAUCCUGGACCGGCAUUGACGCUGAGGUGCGAAAGCGUGGGGAGCAAACAGG